rnacentral:rRNA from 1 species
GACGAACGCUGGCGGCGUGCUUAACACAUGCAAGUCGAACGGAAAGGCCCUGCUUUUGUGGGGUGCUCGAGUGGCGAACGGGUGAGUAACACGUGAGUAACCUGCCCUUGACUUUGGGAUAACUUCAGGAAACUGGGGCUAAUACCGGAUAGGAGCUCCUGCUGCAUGGUGGGGGUUGGAAAGUUUCGGCGGUUGGGGAUGGACUCGCGGCUUAUCAGCUUGUUGGUGGGGUAGUGGCUUACCAAGGCUUUGACGGGUAGCCGGCCUGAGAGGGUGACCGGCCACAUGGGGACUGGGAUACGGCCCAGACUCCUACGGGAGGCAGCGGUGGGGAAUAUUGCACAAUGGGCGGAGGCAGGAUGCAGCAACGCCGGGUGCGGGAUGACGGCCUUCGGGUGGUAAACCGCUUUCGCUUGUGACGAGGCGUGAGUGAGGGUAAUGGGUAAGGAAGCCCCGGCUAAUUACGU